rnacentral:lncRNA from 1 species
AUCUAAGCUUUGCUCUUUUUGACAAUAAAUGAAGACAGUAGCUAUAUAGACUGUACUCCAUAAGACCAGAUUGACUACAACUAAGAUGGGUGGUGACAUUGAAAUGAAGAUUACUGCUCCGGACGACACAGCACAUGCGGUUCCGUAUAUGACUGUGAUAGGAAUUAAGGUUGCAAUAGUCCUCUCACUCUCAUCUGAUACCAUGGCGUAGAACAUCAAAACUACGAAGAAUACCAUAAUUGCCAAGACAAAAAUAAGAGCAUAGUAAUUUUCAAAGAAAUCCUUCUCUAUGAACUUCAUUGCUAUCAAACCAAUCGAAGUGACCUUCAC